CCUGAAGAACAGGGUGAUGAAAUUGCAAGUCAGGAGCCCGCCUGAAGAACAGGUUGAAGAAAUUGAAAGUUAGGAGCCCUCCUGAAGAACAGGGUGAAGAAAUUGAAAGUUAGGGGCCCGCCUGAAGAAUAGGGUGAAUAAAUUGAAAAUCAGGAGCCCGCCUAAAGAAUAGGAUGAUGAAUUUAAAAGUCAGGAGAUUGUCUAAAGAAUAAGAUGAUAAAAUUGACAGUCAGG
rnacentral:lncRNA from 1 species